GCAGCUCGUCCGGCCCGCCCGCAGGCCAGCUUCUCUCGGGAGCCUCCACCCAGGCGCAUGGCUCCAUGAAGCAAGAGGAGGAGGCAGAGCGCGAGAGAUCCCGUCCGCCCCAGCCGCGUCUGGGCCAGGAGAAAAGCAAAACCAUAUUCCUGCUGCUGUCAGUUUUGAUGCACUGAGAAAACUUCAGAGACCUAAGCUUUUUCCAGAGAAGAGAAGCUUUACUGGUGUUCCAGCCCUAAGAAACUUAAAUCCUCAGUGUGACACAACUCAGUCCUUCUACUGCAGCAGCUCUUUUAUAAAAGCCUCCCAAAGCUCCAAGAAGGAACAAAGAAUGUGACCCAGUAAGCUCACACCAUAAGUCUAUAUUGCAGAAACCUUUGUUCAACAAAACUGCAGAUGCUCUGUUGAAUCCACUGGAGAUUGUCCUGAUACUAAGGACAAGCUCAUAUGACAUUAACAGACAAGACACUUUUCAGAAAGACAGGUUGUUCUUUUGGGCCACAUCUAAGAAAUCUUUGUCUAGCCAAAAGCCACAAAUAAUUUCUCAUUUUUUGGCUUCUGGAAGAUGUACAGUUAAAUGUUAUAUUUGGGACUGUUAUCUAAUUUGAUUAAAUUGCACUCUACAAUA
rnacentral:lncRNA from 1 species